rnacentral:rRNA from 1 species
AUUGAACGCUGGCGGCAGGCCUAACACAUGCAAGUCGAGCGAGCGGCAGCCGGGUGAGUAAUGUAUGGGGAUCUGCCCGAUAGAGGGGGAUAACUACUGGAAACGGUGGCUAAUACCGCAUACCAUCAGAUGUACCCAGAUGGGAUUAGCUAGGAGGUGGGGUAAAUGCUCACAUAGGCGACGAUCUCUAGCUGGUCUGAGAAGAUGCCCAGCCACACUGGAACUGAGACACGGCCCAGACGCCAACGGGAGGCAGCAGUGGGGAAUAUUGCAGAAUGGGCGCAAGCCUGAUGCAGCCAUGCCGCGUGUAUGAAGAAGGCCUUAGGGGUGUAAAGGAAUUGCAGCGGGGAGGCGUUACCCGCAGAAGAAGCACCGGCUAACUCCGUGCCAGCAGCCGCGGUAAUUC